UAUGCAUCUUAGAAGGCUUGCCAAACUAGAGAGAGCAAAGGAGGCAAAGAAGAGUGCAUUUUAAGUGUUUUCCAGAUUGGAGAAGAUGGCUUCCGGAUUGGACUGCAAAGGGAAAUUACCUUCCGGAAUGAAGACUGAGGCCAGCCACUUGCUGUUCGCGCUCAGCCAAUCUGCACCAGAUUUCAGCUUUUGAAAAACGCACGUUUUUAAUGUUUUUUGCAUGGAACUUGCAGCCCAAACUAAGUAGCGUCUUAGAUAAUCUUCUUUAGUGAUCUUAGAAGCUUGGAAAGUCAGAUUUAGAGCUCUCUCUUCACCUAUAAAAGAGAGGUGCAUCUCCAUGUAAAAUAUAACUUUGAUGAGAUAAUGAAAUGUUGUUGAGUUUACUCCAAUUAUAUUCUCAGAGUUCAAAACUUCUAGUGCUAAUUUCGCACCUCUUCCUCUAGCUUCCUUCCCCUUUGGAAGACCUUCUGAGCUUGAGAAACCUCACACACUCAUCCAACCUCCACUGAACCUUUCAUCAAACACUUGGCGUGCACUAGAAACUUCCUCCAUUUCUCCAACUCCGUUGCAUCUGUUUUGAUCCGUGAAGAGCUCUAACUUGAAGAGUGGAGCUGCUUCCAUCAUUUGGCAUCAAGAACCAGCACGUCCACGCAUUGCUUCAAGAGCUAAGUUGCUCUUACCUCCAUAUUUUUGUUUGACCGUGUGCAGUGUAGUGCUCACUGUUUUCCAAAUAUUUUUCAUUUCAGUUUUGAUUCAAUUCGUGUUUGUUGUUGUUAUACUUGUGCCUUGAGUGUUCCGUAGUAUGUUUUCAUGAUUUUAAUAGGUGCCAUUCAUUUGUUUGAGUUUCAUUCCAGCUUUAAUUUCCAUUUUCCAGUUUUGUCACGUCAUGUGCCUUGUGUGCAAUUUUAAAUUCUGUCAUCAAGUGUUUGACUUUGUUCCAGCAAUGUUUUUGUUUUCAAAUGAGUUUCCAGUGCAUUUGUAGCCAUAUACGAAUCAUAUAAGGCAGUGAGACAAUGUCUAGCCUUGAUUAUAUGUGUGCUAAAUCAGUGAAAACAUAUUUCUGUUUCCCAAAUUCUGCACAAUAUUUCAAAAACUGAUGCAAGUGCUAUAAUCUGCUUCAGACUAGAUUUCUUGCUUCUUAAGCUUUGUGCAAGUUUAUUUGGUGUUGUUAAGCAUUGCUAGAAGUAUAGAAACUCAUAUUAAUCACAUAAUUACAAAAAGUGUAGUUGAGUUCAUAAAAAAUAUGCUAAAACAAUGUUGUCACUGUUUUCAGUCAAGAUUUUGUACCAUACUUGAUGUCUUUGAUUGUUCUUAGGCUUCAAAAAUCUGCUAGCUCAUAUUCUAUAACUAGAUCUAAUCCAUUAGGAUUUUCUUAAGCAUUUGAUUGAACCGUCCAACUUUGAUUCCACUUAAAUUUCAACUCUGCUCCAGUAUUGGUGCAUUUUUCUGCAUUUUUAAGCUACUGCUACUGUGAUUUGGUGAAUUUGUCUAUUUCAGUUCAGUUUAAACAAUUGUGCAAGUUUAUUUGGUCAUUUGAAACUUGUGUGCACUGUUCAUUUGGUCAAAUUUGAGCCUACAUGCAAAAUCACUUUCUAAACCAUCAAAUUUUGCUUAAAUGUGGAAGUGAACUAGUGAAUUUCGAGUGGAGUGUGAUUCCUUGCUGUUUCAGUUUUUAAAAACCUUCAAAUUGAUGAUAUAAAGUUGCUUCAAGCAUCACUUGAGAUUUAGAAAAACUGCCACUCAUUUUUGGGUUUGAAAGCACACUUUUAAAGCUACUUUUCUAGUGCAGUAACCAUUUUUUAGUGCUGUUUGAAAUUUCCAUUUCUUCAAAUCUCAUUUCUGGAUUGGCAAAAGCUAGGUUUGUGUUUCCAAAUGAAAAGAUAUGAUUAAAACAAUGUAAAACAUCCAUAAAAAGCAAAAGAAAACCAAGCAAUCCAAUUUUGAACCCCAAAACUAAAAAAUCACAAAAUCUGCACUUCUUUGGAGACUUUUAUCAAACAGUUACGUUUAUCAUCAAACACCUUACUACACUACUUUUGGCUCUUCAUUUUUUAUUUUUCUUGCUUUUUUAAUCUGAUCUAGUGCCUCUCCUAGGUUUCUUUUGUGUCCCUUCAUUGAUUCAAAGCUUAAAAAUACUUGAAAUCAACUUGUUUGACCUCCAAUUUGUGCCACCAAACCUGGUAUGCGAAUUUGAAUUCUGGUGCAGUGCAAAUUUUUGCUGUGAGUGGUUUAGUGUGUGGCAGGGUGUUCUGAUGUUUUGGUGAGGCUUCCAAGGUCCAGAAUCCUUGCUUCAGGGGUAGCAUACUAGGAAGUGGAAGGGUUGCUGAAUUGGACAAGGGAGUUGCUCUCAAAGUAGCACUUUUGCUCAAGAAUUCAGCAGCAUUUCACCAUCUUGCACCAUACUUUGCACCAAUUUUGGAGGGCUGCAACAGUCCAGUUUUUGCAACAACAUCAUUUGUAAAUUUUAAGCAUUGUAUCAAGUAUUUUCCAGCUUUGUAUCACAGAACAUUUGAAGUUUAAUUGCUUUUCCAUUUGCAACUCAAAGUGGCUUGGAAAAAAAUGUUUUUCAAGCAAUUCCAAGUGCACAAUUAAACUUUUUAAUAGCUUAGUUUCCACUUCUUAGUGUGAAAGUGUGUCAAGGGGCUCAAAAUCACUUUCACUUUCACUUAGGACUGAUUAGCAUUUUCCAUUUGCAUUCCUUUACUUUACUUUGCUUGCUUGACUUUUAUGUUUUAAGUCUCCGUGAUACAUAGGAGUGCGUUUCAUUUAGCCAAAUCUUUAUUUGAUUUCGAUGUGCAUUUCAUCUUGCAUUCAAAAGCUUUUGAAAGAUUUCUACCUAGAAACUAAGGUAAGAAACAACCAAAGACACUCUGGCUAAGAAGGACAAGGUUCUUAAGCUUGUCCAUUUGUGACUCACCUCUCCUUCCUAGGAGCUAUUUGGUUCAUUUUUACCUCUAGAAUCUUUCUAGAAAUCCUUCACCAAAAAUCUAAAAGGUUUGUGAAAAACUUUUAGAAAUAAAAUGUCUUAUUAUUCAUAUAUGUCGUCUAGUUCAUAUAUGUCAUCUCGGAUUGAUAAUGGGUACUAUAAUUCAUAUAUUAAGGAUGAUUUGUAUACUCAAGCUAGUAAACUUCCAUUCUUUGGUAAAGACAUAAAUGCCUUAACAUACCUAGUUUGGGAAAAAGAAAUUGAUAAAAUGCAUCCAUUCCUUGUUAGACAGAGUGAAAUUGAAUCCUAUAGUCCCAUUGUUCUUUCUAGAGAGUGUGAAUCUCGUGUUCUUAGUUUAUAUCGCUCUAGGUUAGAAAAGCCUGUACGUGAGUGGUGGGAUGAAAGGCAAUAUUGGGUUAAUAAAGGUAGAAAAUCCUCCAUUCAUGAUUGGUAUGAACUAAGAGCUUGCAUGAGAAGAAAGUUUGUGCCUCUUACAAUCAACAGAAACCUGGAACUAAUGAGAGAUAGUGUGAAAAUGGAAAAAUAUUUCUUGAGAGUUUAAAUGAUCAUGGUUUCUUUCGUAGAGAAAUAAAAUUUGGGGAAAUUUUCAAGAGUUAAAGGAUUAGAAAAGGGAAAGAGAGAUUAAAAGAAGAGAGGAAGAAAGAAAAGAAAAAGAAAGGAAAAAAGAAGAAGAAAGAGAGAACAAGAAAAAAGAGAAAGAGAAGAAAGAGAGAGAAGAACAUAAGUAAGAAAAGAAGAAGAGAGAAGAGAGAAAGAAGAGAGAGGGAGAGAAGACGAGAGAUAAAGGAAGAAGAGAGACGAGAAAGAGAAAGAAGAGAAGAGGAAAAGAAGAAAGCAGUGGAAAAUAGAGAGAAAGAGAAAUUGCUACAGGUGGCAAAUUCAACUCCUCCAAAAAUUAUGGAACCUAAAAGGGAAGGUUUUCAAUUCUUUACUUCUUUUCCAAUCAUUAUUGAGUCUUCAAAUAUUAACUUCUCUUUCAAACCAAUUGUCAUCCCAUAUUCUGUGCAAUCCUUUUCAAAAUAUGGCAAUUCGAAUCUUGAGUUAAUGUUACCCUUGUGGAAAUAAUUAACUCAAGAUAAAAGUCCAAUAACUUGUAAAUAUGAACUUCUAAAUUUUUCCACGAUUACUUCUAAGAAAAUCGUUUUCAAAAAUACAACCCCUUCAUUUUGUCUUCUUGUUUUUUAUUACAUCCUUUUAAUCAUAUUAAUUGUUGCUAUCUUUUGUAGAUAUAUUUUUUAUCCAGGAGGAAAACAACAACCAAAGUUAUGCUUCUUUCUAACUUUCCGAUUUGAGGACAAAUCGUUUUUAAAGAGGUCACCAUCAAAGCUUGGAAACCAUGCCUAUGCAUCUUAGAAGGCUUGCCAAACUAGAGAGAGUUAAGGACGAAAAGAAGAGUGCAUUUUAAGUGUUUUCCGGAUUGGAGAAGAUGGCUUCUGGAUUGGACUGCAAAGGGAAAUUACCUUCCGGAAUGAAGACUGAGCCCAACCACCUGCUGUUCGCGCUCAGCCAAUUUGCACCAAAUUUCAGCUUUUGAAAAACGCACAUUUUUAAUGUUAUUGGCAUGGAACUUGCAGCCCAAGCUGAGUAGCGUCUUAUAUACUCUUCUUUAGCAAUCUUAGAAGCUUGAAAAGUCAGAUUUAGAGCUCUCUUCACCUAUAAAAGAGAGGUGCAUCUACAUGUAAAAUCCAACUUUCAUGAGAGAAUGAAAUGUUGUUGAGUUUACUCUAGUCA